rnacentral:rRNA from 1 species
GAUGAACGCUGGCGGCGUGCCUAAUACAUGCAAGUCGAGCGAACGGACGAGAAGCUUGCUUCUCUGAUGUUAGCGGCGGACGGGUGAGUAACACGUGGAUAACCUACCUAUAAGACUGGGAUAACUUCGGGAAACCGGAGCUAAUACCGGAUAAUAUAUUGAACCGCAUGGUUCAAAAGUGAAAGACGGUCUUGCUGUCACUUAUAGAUGGAUCCGCGCUGCAUUAGCUAGUUGGUAAGGUAACGGCUUACCAAGGCAACGAUGCAUAGCCGACCUGAGAGGGUGAUCGGCCACACUGUAACUGAGACACGGUCCAGACUCCUACGGGAGGCAGCAGUAGGGAAUCUUCCGCAAAGGGCGAAAGCCUGACGGAGCAACGCCGCGUGAGUGAUGAAGGUCUUCGGAUCGUAAAACUCUGUUAUUAGGGAAGAACAUAUGUGUAAGUAACUGUGCACAUCUUGACGGUACCUAAUCAGAAAGCCACGGCUAACUACGUG